AGUGAACGCUGGCGGCGUGCCUAAUACAUGCAAGUCGAACGGAGAUUAAGUAGCUUGCUAUUUAAUCUUAGUGGCGCACGGGUGAGUAAUAUAUAGCUAACUUGCCCAUUACUAAGGGACAACAGUUGGAAACGACUGCUAAUACCUUAUACUCCGUAUCUAUAUAAGUAGAUACGGGAAAGUUUUUCGGUAAUGGAUAGGGCUAUAUCGUAUCAGCUAGUUGGUAAGGUAAUGGCUUACCAAGGCUAUGACGCGUAACUGGUCUGAGAGGAUGAUCAGUCACACUGGAACUGAGACACGGUCCAGACUCCUACGGGAGGCAGCAGUAGGGAAUAUUGCUCAAUGGGGGAAACCCUGAAGCAGCAACGCCGCGUGGAGGAUGACACUUUUCGGAGCGUAAACUCCUUUUCUUGGGAAAGAACUAUGACGGUACCCAAGGAAUAAGCACCGGCUAACUCCGUG
rnacentral:rRNA from 1 species